CUGAGCCAAAACCUCUGUGUGCAGCCUGCAGGGAGCCAGGGAAUGGGGUGCAGGGCUCCAGCCAUCUCCUAGCGGACCUGGAGCCAGAAGCUGGCUUCACAUUGCUGGAAUCCAGCCACAAGGGAGAACUCGGAGGAGACUGGUGAGCCUCACUUCUAGAAAUGACCCCAUUUCUUCCUCCAUUGCAGAUCAUCAAAAAUGAUCUGGUAAUAUAAGAUUUCUGUUUGAUUCCCCAGUCUGCACCAUUCCCUGGACAGAAUCACUUGGACAAUCAAAUCAAGAGCAAGGAUCCUGUGAACAGAGCACGUACUCUCCAAACAGAAUAUGUACAAACUGCUUCAGACAUGAUGCUUGCAACAGAUCAGGACAUAAUGGUGUGAGAGGCUAUCCUUCCAUCAAAUACGGUUUUAAAGACCACAUUAUCUGAGACAUCUACUCCAUGAAUUAUAUCCUGCAAAAAUGUAACCUGCUGAUAGGAAAUUGGUAUGCAGAAAGCCUGAGGGCCAACCCAUCUAUUCAGAAGUCUAAUGUGAGUGUCAGCUCUUCAGGAACAGAUUUUCUCUCUACUAUGCCAAACACAAUGAGGUCCUUGACCUGGAAAGGCAGACCUUUGGGAACUUACCCCGAUACAAAAAGCAUCAGGAGUUAGGUGUCAAGAAAUUAACUUCUUGUAGCAAAGCUGGGCUCUGUCUGUUCCUCCACUCAGCAAGCAGAAGGGGAAAUUCCAUCAAUGUCGGUAAUGCUUUGCCUAGAUUUCAGUGGAUCUGUACAAGGAAUAAGCACUGCUCACUGUAUCUGUCAGUAGAGAUUUAUUGUGUUUGUCUUGAAGGUGUCAAGUACCAGAGAGGCUUUAGAAGAGAAAAUGACCAUGUGUGUUUGCUGAGCAGCUCCUGCAAAAGCAUGGAGAGGGUGAGGGUGCUGGGAAGGACUACACUGACAUGGAACAGGGAGUCAGGAGAUGUUCUGCUUCCAGGUCUUCAGGUGAUCCUGGAUCUCAUCUCUAAUCUCUCAUCUGGCUAGGUGCUCAGUUUUCUGGUGUCUUGUCAUGUGUAUGUCCAAGAUUGAGCAGAGGUGGUCUGGAACAUGACGAGGCAGUGCCACCAUAACAAAGAAAUGAGGACCAGAAGUGCUGGAGCAGUUCGGAACAAUAUGUCAUUAUUUUCAGUCUGGAAAUUCCUGAGGUAAAAAUCUUCAGGCUGCAGGACUGCUCAGAGAAGGCAUUCCCAUAUGCACAAUUUGUCCUCUCUUUUUUUCUUCUACCUGUUCUUAGCCCCUGCCAGGAACUGGAUCUAGGACUCCACAGACUUCUAGUCUAACCUAGUGUAGCUGUUUUUAUGUUCUUGUGUUUUGUUAUGUUAAAUCUCUCUAUUUUCAAAAUGUACUGGAGAGGAGGAGGUACUUUAAAGUCCAAUCAUUCUUCCUAGGUUACAGGAGACCCAGGGGAGA